rnacentral:rRNA from 1 species
AGUUUGAUCCUGGCUCAGAGCGAACGCUGGCGGCAGGCUUAACACAUGCAAGUCGAGCGGGCCCUUCGGGGUCAGCGGCGGACGGGUGAGUAAUACAUCGGAACGUGCCCGAUCGUGGGGGAUAACGGAGCGAAAGCUUUGCUAAUACCGCAUACGAUCUACGGAUGAAAGCAGGGGACCGCAAGGCCUUGCGCGGACGGAGCGGCCGAUGGCAGAUUAGGUAGUUGGUGGGAUAAAAGCUUACCAAGCCGACGAUCUGUAGCUGGUCUGAGAGGACGACCAGCCACACUGGGACUGAGACACGGCCCAGACUCCUACGGGAGGCAGCAGUGGGGAAUUUUGGACAAUGGGCGAAAGCCUGAUCCAGCCAUGCCGCGUGCAGGAUGAAGGCCUUCGGGUUGUAAACUGCUUUUGUACGGAACGAAAAGCCUCUUUCUAAUAAAGAGAGGUCAUGACGGUACCGUAAGAAUAAGCACCGGCUAACUACGUGCCAGCAGCCGCGGUAA